CCUACGGGUGGCAGCAGUGGGGAAUAUUGCACAAUGGGCGCAAGCCUGAUGCAGCCAUGCCGCGUGUAUGAAGAAGGCCUUCGGGUUGUAAAGUACUUUCAGCGAGGAGGAAGGCGUUAAGGUUAAUAACCUUAGCGAUUGACGUUACUCGCAGAAGAAGCACCGGCUAACUCCGUGCCAGCAGCCGCGGUAAUACGGAGGGUGCAAGCGUUAAUCGGAAUUACUGGGCGUAAAGCGCACGCAGGCGGUUUGUUAAGUCAGAUGUGAAAUCCCCGGGCUCAACCUGGGAACUGCAUCUGAUACUGGCAAGCUUGAGUCUCGUAGAGGGGGGUAGAAUUCCAGGUGUAGCGGUGAAAUGCGUAGAGAUCUGGAGGAAUACCGGUGGCGAAGGCGGCCCCCUGGACGAAGACUGACGCUCAGGUGCGAAAGCGUGGGGAGCAAACAGGAUUAGAUACCCGCGUAGUC
rnacentral:rRNA from 1 species